rnacentral:rRNA from 1 species
GACGAACGCUGGCGGCGGGCUUAACACAUGCAAGUCGAACGGAAAGGCCCUGCUUGUGUGGGGUGCUCGAGGGGCGAACGGGUGAGUAACACGUGAGUAACCUGCCCUUGACUGGGGGAUAACUGCAGGAAACUGGGGCUAAUACCGGAGAGGAGCUCCUGCUGCAGGGUGGGGGUUGGAAAGUUUCGGCGGUGGGGGAUGGACGCGCGGCUUAUCAGCUUGUGGGGGGGGUAGUGGCUUACCACGGCUUUGACGGGUAGCCGGCCUGAGAGGGUGACCGGCGACAUUGGGCCUGAGGUACGGCCCAGUCUGCUACGGGGGGCAGCGGUGGGGAAUAUUGCCCAGUGGGCGGAAGCCUGUUGAGGCAACGCCGCGUGUGGGAUGACGGCCUUCGGGUUGUAAACCGCUUUCACCUGUGACGAAGCGUGAGUGACGGUAAUGGGUAAAGAAGCACCGGCUAACUACGUG